AGUUUGUAAUCUAUUAACGAGCUCAAUGAUCGGAGGUUGUCGCUGAUUUUGGCCGGUUUCGAACGUAACGAAGAACCAGGAACGUUGAUCACGUAACGAUUUACAUAGAUAGUUUAUCGCGACGGACGUUGCUUAUCUAACGAGAGAGAUAUUGUGAAGCUUUUAAUUAAAAUAUUAAUCGACGACACACCGACUAACGUUAAUCUUCGUAAUUUCGAAUUAUGUGUACUAUGCAUAAAAGAAGAAACAAUUGUGAACUGAUUUUGUACGGUUCUGAAGGAUGUCUUGAGAUUCGUAUCUUUUUGCGUAAUGUAAAGCUCGCGGUGCCGCCAGUAGAAAGAAAACCACGUCCACAAAGGGAAGAAGCCGGUUAUUUCGGUGCUAAUUAAGUGACGACGUCCGCGCGUACACGGCCAUCAGGAGCGGUGCCUAAUUGGCACGGGAGCAACAACGGACAUCCUUAAUUGGUUAAUUUGCGAAGAGGCUCGGCAACCGAUGCAUCACGACACGCUCGACUAUUGCAGGAUGCAGUUGCCCCUGGCCAUCUCGGGAUAAUCGUCCUGACGUUCUCUCUCGUUUCGUUGAAUCGGGGCCGAAUUCGCUGAGCCACAAGGACUACGAUACCGCCUUAACGAUAUUUCGAACAACCUUCCUUCUCUUCUAUGACAAGUUCCUGCAGUACGUGACCAAAUUCGCAACUAUGACUAGCGGGCAGCGGAACAAGUCCGUGGUACAUCCAGAACAACGGUACGCGUACAUGCCGUGUCCGCUCUACGACACCGGUUGGUACUUGUGAAGUGUCGUUUAUUUGAGGUUAGAAUUUGACGAACCACUACUACUUAUUGGCCUUUGACUUAUUGUUGAUUAACAACUGUAUCAAGGAACAGGAAAUUUACCAUAGUCAACGUGUUGAAAUUAUUCAGUAUACUAUUUAUCACUCUAAAGAUCAUGGCAGUCAAAGUGUUAGGUGUAACUACACGUUCAUUUCCCUUGCUCUGAACAAUGAAUCAGGAAACUUCGUAGUUUGAAUCGCGGUGAAUUUCAAACGAAACAGUGUCCAGUUUGUGUCGAACUCUCCUUUGUUCGAAACAAGAGAAAAUCGCGCGGUUAAUACCUUAAGUGUGCUACAAAGUAGCGAGAUGUUAAGAAAUACUUCCGGCCUCUCUCCGUUUCCGUAGGCUUCUUAUGAUUGCCGUUCCACUUACUUGUUAUUUGUCAUUGGAAUGCAAACAGAGGGAGAGACCGCGUAUUCUAUAAGAUCUCCCCGUCGAUUCGUGAAAGUUGCCGGCCAGGAGUUGGUAAUAAAGGAAAUUGGAUUCCUAUAGCAGGCGAAUAAAGUUUCAGAACGGCCGAAUCAGAACGAAACACUUCGGCCUGGCUGGCUUUGCCGCGAGAUCCUCCAGUUACUUUGUAUCUAAAUGUCGCCCGGCUUAACAAAGACCGACUAAUAAAUAAGCUUCUUCACCGAACUUUUAAAUAGACCGCCGUUCUUCGCGGCGUUCGUUUGCCACGAGAAUGAUCAUUGGAUCUUUCUUGUCGGCGGGCAAAAGAAACAGGAAAGGUGCUAGCAGAGAAUAA